rnacentral:rRNA from 1 species
UAGUGAGUUUGAUCCUGGCUCAGAACGAACGCUGGCGGCAUGCCUAACACAUGCAAGUCGAACGAGAUCUUCGGAUCUAGUGGCGCACGGGUGCGUAACGCGUGGGAAUCUGCCCUUGGGUUCGGAAUAACAGUUAGAAAUGACUGCUAAUACCGGAUGAUGUCUUCGGACCAAAGAUUUAUCGCCCAGGGAUGAGCCCGCGUAGGAUUAGGUAGUUGGUGGGGUAAAAGCCUACCAAGCCGACGAUCCUUAGCUGGUCUGAGAGGAUGAUCAGCCACACUGGGACUGAGACACGGCCCAGACUCUACGGGGAGGCAGCAGUGGGGAAUCUUAGACGAAUGGGGGAAACCCUGAUCUAGCCAUGCCGCGUGAUCGAUGAAGGCCCUUAGGG